AUUGGGAAUAUUUUGCAUCCAU
rnacentral:miRNA from 1 species